GUGAAUAGAAAGGGCACUAGAGCAGUCGUUGCUAAGGGAACAUCUCUCAGUUAAUGGUCUCCAAGCCUUGUCCACAGGGAGCUCUUCAAUCCGUGUUCUUCACGUUCCUGCUCAGGGAGACUUCCCAGAAUACAUCUCACUGCCUAGCCAUGUUCCCAGUGACCACUCUGCUGCUUGGCCUGUUCUUCUCACUGAGAGGAAACAGAGCCCAGUCAGUGGCCCAGCCUGAUGCUCAUCUCACUGUCUCUGAAGGAGCCUCACUAGAGAUCAAAUGCAGCUAUUCUUAUGGUGCGACACCUUACCUCUUCUGGUAUGUCCAAUAUCCUGGCCAGAGCCUCCAGCUUCUCCUCAAAUACACCGCCAGAGACACCCUUAUUAAAGGCAUCAAUGGCUUUGAGGCUGAGUUUACGAAGAGUAACUCCUCCUUCAACCUGAGGAAAUCCCCAGCUCACUGGAGGGACUCAGCCAAGUACUUCUGCGCUCUGAGUGACACAGUGCCUCAGGCUGCAGGGGGAGCUGAGCACAAACCUCCUGAGACUCUCUGUGACUUGAGGGCACACAAUAAAUGA